UACAGAGGUCCCAAGCGUUGUUCGGAUUCACUGGGCGUAAAGGGUGCGUAGGUGGUGAGGUAAGUCGGAUGUGAAAGCUCCGAGCUCAACUCGGAAAUGGCAUUGGAAACUACCUUGCUCGAGGGUUUGAGGGGGGACUGGAAUACUUGGUGUAGCAGUGAAAUGCGUAGAUAUCAAGUAGAACACCAGUGGCGAAGGCGAGUCCCUGGAAAAACUCCUGACACUGAGGCACGAAAGCUAGGGGAGCAAACAGG
rnacentral:rRNA from 1 species